CUGCAUUUUGCUUCUUUCUUCGCUCACUCACGCUCCUCUCCUGCCUGCCUACCUCGUGAGAGUGCAAACACAUAUUUUCAUGGAAUACAAGGAUAAAGAAGAUGAAACAAUCUGCUGCUGCUACCCAAGACCAUUUUUUCAUCUACCUGACACAGUGGCUGGUGGACCAAAAAUGUGGCCUCUGGAGAGAGACAAGCCUGGUACACGGGCUACUGUAGGACUGGCUGUGGUCUGUGAUCAUAUCAUCACUGGCAGAGACACACUGGGUGAUAACGAUGGGUGAUCUAAUGUAGUGAUGUGCCAUGAGCAGAGCCAAAGACUUCAUGGUGUUGUCCAUCUUCCCCAUUAUCCCCUGUGUAUUUAUUCC